GACGAACCGAGCGAACGUUGUUCGGAAUCACUGGGCUUAAAGGGCGCGUAGGCGGGCUGCCGCGUCCGGGGUGAAAUCCUCCGGCUCAACCGGAGAACGGCCCCGGGUACGGGCGGCCUCGAGGGGGGUAGGGGCGUGCGGAACUGUGGGUGGAGCGGUGAAAUGCGCAGAUAUCAGGAGGAACACCGGUGGCGAAGGCGGGUCUCUGGGCCGAUACUGACGCUGAGGAGCGAAAGCGUGGGGGAGCGAACAGG
rnacentral:rRNA from 1 species